UACGUAGGGUGCAAGCGUUAAUCGGAAUUACUGGGCGUAAAGCGUGCGUAGGUGGUUUGUUAAGUCUGUUGUGAAAGCCCCGGGCUUAACCUGGGAACUGCAUUGGUGACUGGCAGGCUUUGAGUGUGGCAGAGGGAGGUAGAAUUCCACGUGUAGCAGUGAAAUGCGUAGAGAUGUGGAGGAAUACCGAUGGCGAAGGCAGCCUCCUGGGCCAACACUGACGCUCAUGCACGAAAGCGUGGGGAGCAAACAGG
rnacentral:rRNA from 1 species